rnacentral:rRNA from 1 species
GACGAACGCUGGCGGCGUGCUUAACACAUGCAAGUCGUACGGUAAGGCCCUUUCGGGGGUACACGAGUGGCGAACGGGUGAGUAACACGUGAGUAACCUGCCCACAACUUUGGGAUAACGCUAGGAAACUGGUGCUAAUACUGGAUAUGUGCCCCUGCUGCAUGGUGGGGGUUGGAAAGCUCCGGCGGUUGUGGGUGGACUCGCGGCCUAUCAGCUUGUUGGUGGGGUAGUGGCCUACCAAGGCGGCGACGGGUAGCCGGCCUGAGAGGGUGACCGGCCACAUUGGGACUGAGAUACGGCCCAGACUCCUACGGGAGGCAGCAGUGGGGAAUAUUGCACAAUGGGCGCAAGCCUGAUGCAGCAACGCCGCGUGCGGGAUGACGGCCUUCGGGUUGUAAACCGCUUUCAGCAGGGACGAAGCUUUUUGUGACGGUACCUGCAGAAGAAGCACCGGCUAACUACGUG